rnacentral:tRNA from 1 species
GCCGGGGUGGCGUAGUUGGUGGCGCGUCGGACUCAUAGGGCAGUUCUAACGAACUAAUUGAGACGUACCAAAGCCCCUUCUCUUGUCUGAGACAUCCGAAGGUCGCGGGUUCAAGCCCCGCUCCCGGCA